rnacentral:rRNA from 1 species
GGGUUGUGAGGUUAAGCGACUAAGCGUACACGGUGGAUGCCCUGGCAGUCAGAGGCGAUGAAGGACGUGCUAAUCUGCGAUAAGCGUCGGUAAGGUGAUAUGAACCGUUAUAACCGGCGAUUUCCGAAUGGGGAAACCCAGUGUGAUUCGUCACACUAUCAUUACGUGAAUCAUCUAAGUACCCCGAGGAAAAGAAAUCAACCGAGAUUCCCCCAGUAGCGGCGAGCGAACGGGGAGCAGCCCAGAGUCUGAAUCAGCUUGUGUGUUAGUGGAACGGUCUGGAAAGUCCGACGGUACAGGGUGAUAGUCCCGUACACCAAAAUGCACAGGUUGUGAACUCGAAGAGUAGGGCGGGACACGUGGUAUCCUGUCUGAAUAUGGGGGGACCAUCCUCCAAGGCUAAAUACUCCUGACUGACCGAUAGUGAACCAGUACCGUGAGGGAAAGGCGAAAAGAACCCCGGCGAGGGGAGUGAAAAAGAACCUGAAACCGUGUACGUACAAGCAGUGGGAGCCUCUUUAUGGGGUGACUGCGUACCUUUUGUAUAAUGGGUCAGCGACUUAUAUUCUGUAGCAAGGUUAACCGUAUAGGGGAGCCGAAGGGAAACCGAGUCUUAACUGGGCGUUAAGUUGCAGGGUAUAGACCCGAAACCCGGUGAUCUAGCCAUGGGCAGGUUGAAGGUUGGGUAACACUAACUGGAGGACCGAACCGACUAAUGUUGAAAAAUUAGCGGAUGACUUGUGGCUGGGGGUGAAAGGCCAAUCAAACCGGGAGAUAGCUGGUUCUCCCCGAAAGCUAUUUAGGUAGCGCCUCGUGAACUCAUCUUCGGGGGUAGAGCACUGUUUCGGCUAGGGGGUCAUCCCGACUUACCAACCCGAUGCAAACUGCGAAUACCGAAGAAUGUUAUCACGGGAGACACACGGCGGGUGCUAACGUCCGUCGUGAAGAGGGAAACAACCCAGACCGCCAGCUAAGGUCCCAAAGUCAUGGUUAAGUGGGAAACGAUGUGGGAAGGCACAGACAGCCAGGAUGUUGGCUUAGAAGCAGCCAUCAUUUAAAGAAAGCGUAAUAGCUCACUGGUCGAGUCGGCCUGCGCGGAAGAUGUAACGGGGCUAAACCAUGCACCGAAGCUGCGGCAGCGACACUAUGUGUUGUUGGGUAGGGGAGCGUUCUGUAAGCCGUUGAAGGUGUAUCGUGAGGUAUGCUGGAGGUAUCAGAAGUGCGAAUGCUGACAUAAGUAACGAUAAUGCGGGUGAAAAACCCGCACGCCGGAAGACCAAGGGUUCCUGUCCAACGUUAAUCGGGGCAGGGUGAGUCGACCCCUAAGGCGAGGCCGAAAGGCGUAGUCGAUGGGAAACAGGUUAAUAUUCCUGUACUUGGUGUUACUGCGAAGGGGGGACGGAGAAGGCUAUGUUAGCCGGGCGACGGUUGUCCCGGUUUAAGCAUGUAGGCGGAGGUUCCAGGUAAAUCCGGUACCUUUUUAACGCUGAGGUGUGAUGACGAGGCACUACGGUGCUGAAGUAACAAAUGCCCUGCUUCCAGGAAAAGCCUCUAAGCAUCAGGUAACACGAAAUCGUACCCCAAACCGACACAGGUGGUCAGGUAGAGAAUACCAAGGCGCUUGAGAGAACUCGGGUGAAGGAACUAGGCAAAAUGGUGCCGUAACUUCGGGAGAAGGCACGCUGAUAUGUAGGUGAAGUGAUUUACUCAUGGAGCUGAAAUCAGUCGAAGAUACCAGCUGGCUGCAACUGUUUAUUAAAAACACAGCACUGUGCAAACACGAAAGUGGACGUAUACGGUGUGACGCCUGCCCGGUGCCGGAAGGUUAAUUGAUGGGGUUAUCCGUAAGGAGAAGCUCUUGAUCGAAGCCCCGGUAAACGGCGGCCGUAACUAUAACGGUCCUAAGGUAGCGAAAUUCCUUGUCGGGUAAGUUCCGACCUGCACGAAUGGCGUAAUGAUGGCCAGGCUGUCUCCACCCGAGACUCAGUGAAAUUGAACUCGCUGUGAAGAUGCAGUGUACCCGCGGCAAGACGGAAAGACCCCGUGAACCUUUACUAUAGCUUGACACUGAACACUGGUCCUUGAUGUGUAGGAUAGGUGGGAGGCUUUGAAGUGUGGACGCCAGUCUGCAUGGAGCCAUCCUUGAAAUACCACCCUUUAAUGGCUGGUGUUCUAACGUGGACCCGUAAUCCGGGUUGCGGACAGUGUCUGGUGGGUAGUUUGACUGGGGCGGUCUCCUCCUAAAGAGUAACGGAGGAGCACGAAGGUUAGCUAAUCCUGGUCGGACAUCAGGAGGUUAGUGCAAAGGCAUAAGCUAGCUUGACUGCGAGAGUGACGGCUCGAGCAGGUGCGAAAGCAGGUCUUAGUGAUCCGGUGGUUCUGAAUGGAAGGGCCAUCGCUCAACGGAUAAAAGGUACUCCGGGGAUAACAGGCUGAUACCGCCCAAGAGUUCAUAUCGACGGCGGUGUUUGGCACCUCGAUGUCGGCUCAUCACAUCCUGGGGCUGAAGUAGGUCCCAAGGGUAUGGCUGUUCGCCAUUUAAAGUGGUACGCGAGCUGGGUUUAGAACGUCGUGAGACAGUUCGGUCCCUAUCUGCCGUGGGCGCUGGAGAAUUGAGGGGGGCUGCUCCUAGUACGAGAGGACCGGAGUGGACGCAUCACUGGUGUUCGGGUUGUCAUGCCAAUGGCAUUGCCCGGUAGCUAAAUGCGGAAGAGAUAAGUGCUGAAAGCAUCUAAGCACGAAACUUGCCCCGAGAUGAGUUCUCCCUGAGACUUUAAGUCUCCUGAAGGAACGUUAAAGACGAUGACGUUGAUAGGUCGGGUGUGUAAGCGUAGCGAUACGUUGAGCUAACCGAUACUAAUGAACCGUGAGGCUUAACCUUACAACGCCGAAG